AAGUCGAGCGAACGGACGAGAAGCUUGCUUCUCUGAUGUUAGCGGCGGACGGGUGAGUAACACAUGGAUAACCUACCUAUAAGACUGGGAUAACUUCGGGAAACCGGAGCUAAUACCGGAUAAUAUUUUGAACCGCAUGGUUCAAAAGUAAAAGACGGUCUUGCUGUCACUUAUAGAUGGAUCCGCGCUGCAUUAGCUAGUUGGUAAGGUAACGGCUUACCAAGGCAACGAUGCAUAGCCGACCUGAGAGGGUGAUCGGCCACACUGGAACUGAGACACGGUCCAGACUCCUACGGGAGGCAGCAGUAGGGAAUCUUCCGCAAUGGGCGAAAGCCUGACGGAGCAACGCCGCGUGAGUGAUGAAGGUCUUCGGAUCGUAAAACUCUGUUAUUAGGGAAGAACAUACGUGUAAGUAACUGUGCACAUCUUGACGGUACCUAAUCAGAAAGCCACGGCUAACUACGUGCCAGCAGCCGCGGUAAUACGUAGGUGGCAAGCGUUAUCCGGAAUUAUUGGGCGUAAAGCGCGCGUAGGCGGUUUUUUAAGUCUGAUGUGAAAGCCCACGGCUCAACCGUGGAGGGUCAUUGGAAACUGGAAAACUUGAGUGCAGAAGAGGAAAGUGGAAUUCCAUGUGUAGCGGUGAAAUGCGCAGAGAUAUGGAGGAACACCAGUGGCGAAGGCGACUUUCUGGUCUGUUACUGACGCUGAUGUGCGAAAGCGUGGGGAUCAAACAGGAU
rnacentral:rRNA from 1 species